rnacentral:miRNA from 1 species
UCUCAGCCAGGGCAGUAACAG